UACGGAGGAUCCUAGUGUUAUCCGGAUUUAUUGGGUUUAAAGGGAGCGUAGGCGGGAGGUCAAGUCAGCUGUGAAAUGUAUCUGCUUAACGGGUACACUGCAGUUGAAACUGGUUUUCUUGAGUGCGUAAGAGGCAGGCGGAAUUCGUUGUGUAGCGGUGAAAUGCUUAGAUAUGACGAGGAACUCCUAUUGCGAAGGCAGCUUGCUGGGUCGUUACUGACGCUGAUGCUCGAAGGUGCGGGGAUCAAACAGGAUUAGAUACCCG
rnacentral:rRNA from 1 species